rnacentral:rRNA from 1 species
UACAGAGGGUGCGAGCGUUAAUCGGAAUGACUGGGCGUAAAGGGUGCGUAGGUGGAUAUUUAAGUUGGGUUUUAAAUACCUGGGCUUAACCUGGGGAAGGGGCACAAUACUGGAUAUCUAGAGUACAGUAGAGGGUAGUGGAAUUUCCGGAGUAGCAGUGAAAUGCGUAGAUAUCGGAAGGAACACCAGUGGCGAAGGCGGCUACCUGGACUGAUACUGACACUGAGGCACGAAAGCGUGGGGAGCAAACAGG